rnacentral:piRNA from 1 species
UUUGAUUUGCACUUCUUCCUCCCAGAAGA